AGUGAACGCUGGCGGUAGGCCUAACACAUGCAAGUCGAACGGCAGCACAGUAAGAGCUUGCUCUUACGGGUGGCGAGUGGCGGACGGGUGCGGUAUACUUCGGAAUCUACUUUUUCGUGGGGGCUAACGUAGGGUAACUUACGCUAAUACCGCAUACGACCUACGGGUGAAAGCAGGGGAUCUUCGGACCUUGUGCGAUUGAAUGAGCCGAUGUCGGAUUAGCUAGUUGGCGGGGUAAAGGCCCACCAAGGCGACGAUCCGUAGCUGGUCUGAGAGGAUGAUCAGCCACACUGGGACUGAGACGAGGACCAGACUCCUACGGAAGGCAGCAGUGGGGAAUAUUGGACGAUGGGCGCAAGGGUGAUCGAGCCAAACAGCGUGGGUGAAGAAGGCCUUCGGGUUGUAAAGACCUUUUAAUGGAAAAGAAAUGCAGCAGGUUAAUACCCCGCUGUUCUGACGGUACCCAAAGAGUAAGAACCGGCUAACUUCGUG
rnacentral:rRNA from 1 species